GAAAAAGACCAGAAGCAUUCUGGUUUAUGGCAUAUCUUGGCUAGUGAUCUUGGCUGUCUUGCUUGUCAUGAAGACGGUGUCUGUGGGAAGGCGGAGAUUCAGUGCAAACUUCCAGCUGGUUUUCCGACUGAUCAAGUUCUUCAUCUUUGUAACGUUUGCUUCUGUUCUCAUCAUACUGAUUGCUCUCCCACAUAUGACAUUUCAAGAUAUCAUUGUAUGCUUCCUCGCUUUCUUGCCUACU
rnacentral:misc_RNA from 1 species